rnacentral:rRNA from 1 species
CCGUGAAGGUGACUGCGGAGGACAUUAUCGAAUAUAAACUUGGAUGGACUGUUGCUGGCUUUUCUUUGAGGGGCAUGUGCACGUUUAUCCUCUUUAUUUUUCCACCUGUGCACCUUUUGUAGGCUUGGAUUAUCAGUGGUUCUAACAUGUCUUUCAAAGGCAUAUAAGAAUCGUUUUGGGACUGCUGUGUUUAAACGCAUGUUUAUCAGCUUUCCCUUUUAUUUUCCAAGUCUAUGUUUGCUAUAUACACUCCAGAAAUGUAAUAGAAUGCUGUACUUUAGGUCAUUUGUACCUAUAAUAAAAUCAGUACAACUUUCAGCAACGGAUCUCUUGGCUCUCGCAUCGAUGAAGAACGCAGCGAAAUGCGAUAAGUAAUGUGAAUUGCAGAAUUCAGUGAAUCAUCGAAUCUUUGAACGCAUCUUGCGCUCCCUGGUAUUCCAAGGAGCAUGCCUGUUUGAGUAUCAUUAAAUUAUCAACUGUGCCACUUUGGUCCACAGAUUGGAUGUGGGAGAUUUCUUGCAGGCUUUUGACUAGUCAGCUCUCCUGAAAUGUAUUAGCAGUGCCUUUGUUGGUUCAUUAGGUGUGAUAAUUUAUCUACAUCUUCACAUGGUACCUUCAUUUGUAAAGGUCAUAUUGCUUCUAAUUGUCUUUGGACAAAGAAACAUAUAAUGUGUGACAAACUUGAUCUCAAAUCAGGCAGGACUACCCGCUGAACUUAAGCAUAUCAAAAACCGGGAGGGAA